rnacentral:rRNA from 1 species
UACGUAGGGUGCGAGCGUUGUCCGGAAUUAUUGGGCGUAAAGGGCUCGUAGGCGGUCUGUCGCGUCGGGAGUGAAAACUCAGGGCUUAACCCUGAGCCUGCUUCCGAUACGGGCAGACUAGAGGUAUGCAGGGGAGAACGGAAUUCCUGGUGUAGCGGUGGAAUGCGUACGAUAUCAGGAGGAACACCGGUGGCGAAGGCGGUUCUCUGGGCAUUACUGACGCUGAGGAGCGAAAGCGUGGGGAGCGAACAGG